UCAGGACGAACGCUGGCGGCGUGCUUAACACAUGCAAGUUGAACGGUAUGACAUGGAAGCUUGCUGAAGUGUCAUAUAGUAGCGGACGGGUGAGUAAUGCAUGAGAAGCUGCCAUUGGAGGGGGACAACAGUUGGAAACGGCUGCUAAUACCCCGUAUGCCGGAGGGUGAAAGGGAGUAAUCCGCCCGAUGAGGUGCUCAUGUCCUAUCAGCUGGUUGGUGGGGUAACGGCCUACCAAGGCGACGACGGGUAGCCGGCCUGAGAGGGUGAACGGCCACACUGGAACUGAGAUACGGUCCAGACUCCUACGGGAGGCAGCAGUGGGGAAUAUUGGGCAAAUGGGGGCAACCCUGACCCAGCGACGCCGCGUGGGGGAAGACGGCCUUCGGGUUGUAAACCUCUUUUGUACGGGAAGAAGGAAGUGACGGUACUGUACGAAUAAGUCCCGGCUAACUACGUGCCAGCCGCUGC
rnacentral:rRNA from 1 species